UUAUUAAAGUUAUUUACUCAUGCUGUAUUCAAUUUAUGCUCUCUAGCCCUGCCCUCUGUUGAAACAUCUAGAAAUAACUUAGAUUCCACUGUCACUAAUUUUAGGAACAUAAGUCAGAUUACCUCUUUGUCUGGGUGUUUCAAAUCAUUACUUUUAUAAGAAUAAUUAUCAUGUUUCUGGCUGAAUACAAAAACCAUCAGUUAUAAAAUUCAUUCAGUAAACAUUUACUGAGACUCUACUAUAUGCCAGGCAUGGGGAUCAAAGAAAAAGAUGAGGCUUAUGCUGUUUCUAUUUUACUUUUCUGGGACAUAGAAACAGUUGCCCAUUAUUUUCUGUUAGAGUCUUCACAUUUUUUAAGAACUCUUUAGAUAUUAGAGUGUAACCCCAGUGAUACGAGUUGCAAAUAUUUUUUCUCAUUUUAUCACUUCUGUUGGCAUCUAUUUUUUAGUGUUAUUUUGAUUGCAUUGAAGAGGAUAGAUAUCAUUGUGGUUUUCAAGGUUCCUAAUAACUUAGUAUGCUUUUCAUUUGCACAAGUACUUUUGCUUCAGUGUUAAUUGAUAGUGAGAAUGGAAGGCAUCCGUCAUUGUUCCUUUAGUUCUCUGUGGUGCUUUCUGAUUCAAGCAUGAGAUACCUAUCAUUUAUCAUGUCAAGAAAAUAUCCUUCAUUUCCAGUUUUACUGUAUUUUAGCAAGAUGUUGAAUUUUGUCAUGUAUGUCAGCAUCUGUGGAGAUGAUUGUGUGGUAUUUCUCUUUAGGUCUACUGAUUUGAGUAAUCAUAAUAAAAUUUCCCAAUAUUGAACAAUUCUGACUUUCUAAAAUAAACUACUCUGCCAGGAAGUAUUUUCUUAAGAUGGAUUCUGUUUGCAGGGCACUUGGGUGGCUCAGUCGGUUAAGUGUUGGGCUCUGCACUGACAGCAUGGGACCUGCUGUAGGUUCGCUGUCUCCCUCUCUCGCUGCCCCUCCUCUGCUCGCACUCUCUCUCAAAAGCUAAUAUAUAAACAGAAAAAAAAAGAUGGAUUCUAUUUGCUAAUUUUUUUUAAGUUUUUGAAUUUAUUUUGAGUGAGAGGGUGAGAGAGAGCAGGGGAGGGAGAGAGAGAGAGUACCAAGAGGCUCCAUGCUGUCAGUGCAGAGCCCCAUGUAGGGCUAGAACUCACGAACUGUGAGAUCAUAACCUGAGCUGAGAUCAAGAGUUGGAUGCUUAACCGACUGAGCCACCCAGGGCUCCCAAUUUGCUAAUUUUUAAAAUUUUGUUUUAAUAUUCAUAAAUGAGAUGGUAUAUAGUUUUCCUUUUUAGUAGUAAUUUUGGUUGGGCUUUGGAGUCUGUUUAAAAGGAAUUUGGAACUUUGCCGUGUUUUUCAGUGGUUGGGAACAGUUUUAGCUUUAGCUUUUCGAAAUUAUUUACAUAGAGUUGAGCCAAGUGGUAUUCAUUGGUUCCUUUUAAUUUUCUUGGUUUCUGUGGUUAUAUUCUUGUUUUUUUAAAUUUUUAGUAGCUGUCCUUUGCUUAUGCUUUUGAACUUUUAUCUACAGUAGUUGUUGUUUUUUUAAUCAAACAUUUUAAAGGAUUUUUGACCUAAUUAUUUACUGUAAAGAAAUUGGAUUUAUUUUUGAAUUUGCUUGCAAUCAUAUAGACCUUGCAGAGUGUAAAUGAGUCUUUCAAAGAAGUCAGUUCGCUCAGAAUUUUCUAUAAUUUUAUCAACUUGUAAUACAUUGUUUCAAAAGUCAACUAGUUUCAUAAGUCUUAAUAAAAUAAUGACCCCUGCCAUACUCCCUAAAGUUACCAGCUAAAAUAUCAGAGCUAUUUCUUCUAAUGUUUACAUCCCUAUUUCUAAAUGGCAUGUUUAUAGUACCUAUAACUUCUUUCCAUGGAAGAAUAUUCAGCUUCUUAAACCAACCUAGUCACAUGCAUGUACCUCCCUUCUCCAGUGUGGCUAAAUCAGUAUUCAGUGUUUAUAUUUUUAUAAAUAUAAAACUAUUGUUUACAAGUUGUAUUAGUUAUCUGUUGCUAUGUAACAAAUUAGUCCAACAUUUAGUGGCUUAAAACAACAUUUAUUGUCUCAUAGUUUCUCUGAGUUAAGAAUCUGGGCAUGGCUUAGCUGGGUCCACUAGCUCAGGGUCUCCAGGCUGCAAUUAAGGUGUUUGCCAAGGCUGCAAUCAAAGCCUGACUGGGUUAGGAUCUGCCUACAAGCUUAUUCACAUAGUUACUCCCUGGAUUCAGAUCCUUGUAAGUUGUUAGACUGAAGACCUCAGCACCUUGCUUGCUGCUCAGUGACUUCCCCAGUUCCUAAUCAUACAUUCCUCUUUAUCUAGUUUCUCAUGGCAGCUUGCUUCAUCAGAAUGAUCCAGCAAGAACCAGAGAGAGCGUGAGAAAAAGCAAGACAGAAGUCAUGAUAUUUUGUAACCUAGUCUAAUAAUAUCCAUCAUUUUUGCCGUAUUUUAGUAAUUAGAAAUGAGCUCUAGAUGUAGUGAUCUCACACUUAAGGGGAACUACACAAGGGUAUGAAAACCAGGAGACAAGGUCAUUUGCUAUCUUAGAAGUCUUUUCCAACACAGAUGAACCAGUUAAUAUGCUGUAAUAAUGUUCCCUUUUGUAAAUGCAACUCUUGGAUAACUCUGGAAUUAAUCCUUAGCUGUUUUUGUUCCUUUUUUUGUGUAUGUGCACUUUUCAUAAUCCAUUCCUAAACCCUUUGCUACAGUUUCACAGCUUCUUCCUGUGUGGGUAGGUGCAUCAGGCUAUCUUCAGUCCCAGUGUCACCUCCCUGGAGACAGUGCUCCCACUCUCCUCUGGGUGCUUUGUUUUGCAAGUCCGCUGAAAGGUGUCGUCCUGGGGCUUCCUUUUAACCAGCGUCUUGGAGAUGUUCUUUGGCUUUCUCCUUCUGAUGAGUCUCCUAUAUCUUGGCUCUUGUAUAUUUUUCCACUAUCCUUGUUUAUUUUCUCAUUUUGAAUGAACACUUUGUAGCUUCCUGAGAAGAAUCAUGUGGCCAAGUAUAGAAUUGUAGGUCAUAAAUCGUUUUUCUUCAGAAUGCGUAAGGUAUUAUUGUAUUCAUUGUCUUCUAGCCUCCAAUAUUGAGAAGUCUGCUAUUGUUCUUAUAUCUAGUCCUUUGUGUGUUUUUCUCUGUGAAUGCUCUUAAAACAUCCUUUGUUUACCCAGUAUUCUAAAAUAAUUUUGUAAUAUGUGUAUUAAUUCAUCUUUUUAAAUUUAUUGUGCCUGGAUAAUCCGUGAGCCCUUUAAGGAACUUGAGUUCUUUAGUUCUGGGAAAUUAUUUUUAAUUUUAAUUCUGGUGUAGUUAACACACAGUACUAUAUUAGUUUCAGGUGUACAAUAGCAUGAUUUAUCAGUUCCAUACAUUACUAAGUGCUCACUAAGACAAGUGCACUCCUAAUCUUCACCUAUUUCACACAUCCUCCUCAACCCACUUUCCCUCCGGUAAACCAUCUUUUCUCUAUAGCUAAGAAUCUGUUUUUUUGAUUUCUCAUUUUUCCCCCCUUUGUUUGUUGUUUCUCAAAUUCCACAUAUGAGUGAAAUCAUGUGAUAUUUGUCUUUCUCUGGCUUAUUUCACUUAGUAUUGUACUCUGUAAACCCAUAUAUGUUGGAAAUAGUGAGACUUUAUUCUUUUUAAUGGCUGGAUAAUACUCCAUUUGUGUAUGUGUGUGGGUGUGUACACCAUAUCUUCUUUACCCACUUAUCUAUCAGUGGACACUUGGGCUGCUUCCAUAGUUUGGUUGUUGUAAAUAAUUCUACAGUAAACAUAAGGAUGCAUGUAUCUUUUUGAAUUAGCGUUUUCAUAUUCUUUGGGUAAGUACCCAGUGCUGCAAUUACUAGAUCAUAGAGUGAUUGUAGGAUUGUUCUAUUCUUAAUUUUUUGACAAACUUCUAUACUGUCUUUUUAUUUUUUUUUAAAUGUUUCUUUAUUUUUGAGAGAGAGAGAGACAGAGCAUGAGCGGGCAGGGAUAGAGAGAGAGGAAGACACAGAAUCCAAAGCAGGCUCUAGGCUCUGAGCUCUCAGUACAGAGCCCGACAUGGGCUUGAAACCACAAACCAGGAGAUCAUGACCUGAGCCAAAGUCGGAUCCUUAACCAACCGAGCCUCCCAGGCGCCCUUUUUAUACUGUCUUCUACAGUGGCUGCACCAGUUUGCAUUACCACCAACAGUGCACAAAGGUUCCUUUUUCUCCACAUCUUUGCCCACACUUGUUGUUUCUUGAGUUUUUCUUUUUUUUUUUUUUUUUUAAUGUUUCUUUAUUUUUGAGAGAGAGAGAGCAGGGGAGGGGCAGAGAGAAGAGGGAGACACAGAAUCCAAAAUAGGCUCUAGGCUGUCAGCACAGAGCCUGAUGCAGGACCCAAACCCACAAACCGUGAGAUCAUGACCUGAACUGAAGUCUGAUGCUUAACGGACUGAGACACCAGGGUGCCCUUCUUGAGUUUUUGAUUUUAGCCAUUCUGAUGGGUGUGAGGUGAUAUCUCAUUGUAGUUUUGAUUUGCAUUUCCCUGAGUGAUGUUGAACAUCUUUUCAUGUGUUGGCCAUCUGUAUGUCUUCUUUAGAUAAAUGUUUGUUCAAGUCUUCUGCUCAUUUUUAAUUGAGUUAUUUGGAUUUUUUUGGUAUUGAGUUGUGUAAAUUCUUCAUAUAUUUUGGAUACUAACCCUUUAUCAUAUAUGUCAUUUGUAAAUAUCUUCUGCCAUUCUGUAGGUUACCUUUUAGUUUUGUUGGUUGUUUCCCUCAGUGUGGAGAAGGUUUUUAUUUUGAUGUAGUCCCAAUAGUUUAUUUUUGUAUUUGUUUCCCUUGUCUCAGGAGACAUAUUUAGAAGGAUGUUGUUAUGACCAGUUUCAGAGAAAUUACUGCCUCUGUUUUCUUCUAGGAGUUUUAUGGUUUCGAGUCUCACAUUUAGGUCCUUAAUUCACUCUGAGUUUAUUUUUAUGUAUGAUAUAAGAAGGUAGGCCACUUUCAUUCUUUCCCAUGUAGCUAUCCAGUUUUCCCAACAUCAUUUGUUGAAGAGACUGUUUUUCCAUUGCAUAUUCUCGCCUCCUUUGUUAAAAAUUAAUUUACCUUAUAUUUGUGGGUGUUUUUUCUGGGCUUUCUAUUCUGUUCCAUUGAUCUCUGUGUCUUUUUUUUUUUUUUCCAAUACCAUACUGUUUUGAUUACUACAGCUUUGUAAUAUAACUUGAGAUAUGGAAUUGUGAUAACUCUAAUUUUGUUUUUCUUUUUCAAGAUUGCUUUGGCUACUCAGGGUCUUUUGUGGUUCCAUGCAAAUUUUAGGAUUGUUUAUUCUAGUUCUGUGGAAAAUGCUGUUGGUAUUUUGAUAGGGAGUCAUAUUUAAAAAAAAUUUUUUUAAAGUUUAUUUAUUUGAGAGAGAGAGAGAGAGAGAGGACAAGAGAAAGCACAGGAGGGGCAGAGAGAGAGGGAGAGAGAGAGAAUCCCAAGCAGGCUCCACACUGUUGGUGCAGAGCCCCACAUGGGGCUUGAUGUCAAAAACCAUGAGUUCGUGACCUGAGCCAAAAUCAAGAGUCAGACAUUUUAACCAACUGAGCCACCCAGAAGCCCUGAUAGGGAUCACAUUUAAUCUGUAGAUUGCUUUGGGUAAUAUGGUCAUUUUAACAAUAUUUGUUCGUGCAAUCCAUGAGCGUGGAUUUCCAUUUCUUUGUGUCAUCUUCAGUUUCUUUCAUCAGUGUUUUAUAUUUUUCAGAGAACAAGUCUUUAACUUCUUUGGUUAAGUUUAUUCUUAGGUAUUUUGUGAUUUUUUUAGUACAGUUGUAAAUGGGAUUGUUAUCUUAAUUCCUCUUUCUGCUACUUAAAUAAGUGUAUAGAAAUGCAGUGGAUUUCUGUACGUUCAUUUUAUAUCCCACAACAUUACUGAAUUCAUUUACGAAGUUCUAGCGGUUUUUUUGGUAUAAUUUUUUGGGGUUUUUUAUAUAUAGUAUCAUGUCAUCUGCAAACAAUGAAAGUUUUACUUCUUCCUUACCAAUCUGGAUGCCUUUUGUUUCUUUUUGUUGUCUGAUUGCUGUGGCUAAAGCUUCCAGUAUUAUGUUGAAUGAAACUGGCAAGAGCAGACAUGCUUGUCUUCUUGACCUUAGGGAGAAAGCUCUCAGUUUUUCCCCACUGAGUAUGACGUUAGCUGUGAGUUUUUCAUAUAAAGCCUUUAUGUUUCCUCUAAACCUACUUUGUUGAGGGGUUUUGUUUUGUUUUGUUUUGUUGUUUUAGUUUAUUUUGAGAGGGUGGGGGGAGGGGGAGAGAGAGGAUCCGGAGUGGGCUCUGUGCUGACAGCGGAGAGUCUGAUGUGGAGCUUGAACUCAUGAAUCAUGAAAUCAUGACCUGACCUAAAGUCGGGGCUUAACCAACUGAGCCACCCAGGUGCCCCGAGGGUGUGUGUGUGUGUGUGUGUGUUUUAUUUAUUUUGAGAGAGACGGAGAGAGCACAGUCAGGGGAGGGGCAGAGAGAGGGAGAGAAAGAAUCCCAUGCAGACUCCAUGCUGUCUUUGCAGAGCCCAGUGCAGGGCUCCAUCUCAUGAACCAUGUGAUCAUGACCUGAGCUGAAAUCAAGAGCCACUGACUGAGUCACACAGGUGCUGCUCCUUUCAGCACGUGAAAUAGGUCAUUCCACUCCCUUUUGGUCUGCAAAGUUUCUGCUGAAAAAGCCACUGAUAGGUUUAUGGGGUUUCCUUUGUAUGUAACUUUCUUCUUUGCUCAUGAUACUUUAAAAAUUCUCUCUUUAUCACUACUUUUUGCCAUUUAAAUUACUGUGUGUAUUCAUGUACCUCCUUGGGUUGAUUUUGUUGGGGGAUCUCUGUUCCACCUGAAUCUGGAUAUCUGUCUUCUUUCCACAGAUUAGGGAAGUUUUCCACUAUUUUUUCUUCAAAUAAAUUUUCUGCCCCUUUUUCUCCUCUUCUUCUGGGAUCCCUAUGAUGUGAAUGCUGUUGUGCUUGAUGGAGUUGCUAAGUUCCCUAAGUCUAUUCUCAUUUUGCAGAAUUAUUUUUCUCUCAUCAGUUGAGCUUGAUUACUUUCCAUCACUAUUUUCCAGAUUGCUAAUUUGUUCCUUUGCUUACUUUAGCCAUCUAGUAUAUUUUUUAUGCCAUUUAUUGUGUUCUUCAUAUCUGAUUGGUUCUUUUUUAUCUCUUUGUUAAGGGUCUCACUGAUGUCCUUUGCUGUUUUUUCAAGACAAGUGACUAUCUUUAUGAUCAUUAUUUUUAAUUCUCUUUUAAGAAUAUUACUUCCAUCUGUUUUGUGUAGAUCUC